rnacentral:rRNA from 1 species
UUCGGGUGAGGGUACUGGCAGAAGAAGCACCGGCUAACUACGUGCCAGCAGCCGCGGUAAUACGUAGGGUGCGAGCGUUAUCCGGAAUUAUUGGGCGUAAAGAGCUUGUAGGCGGUUUGUCGCGUCUGCUGUGAAAGCCCGGGGCUUAACUCCGGGUCUGCAGUGGGUACGGGCAGGCUAGAGUGAUGUAGGGGUAACUGGAAUUCCUGGGGUAGCGGUGGAAUGCGCAGAUAUCAGGAAGAACACCGAUGGCGAAGGCAGGUUACUGGGCAUUUACUGACGCUGAGAAGCGAAAGCAUGGGGAGCGAACAGGAUUAGAUACCCUGGUAGUCCAUGCCGUAAACGUUGGGCACUAGGUGUGGGGAGCAUUCCACGUUUUCCGCGCCGUAGCUAACGCAUUAAGUGCCCCGCCUGGGGAGUACGGCCGCAAGGCUAAAACUCAAAUGAAUUGACGGA